AUGUACGACGGGUACACACCGGCUCCUGCGCGCCGUCCGCACCCACCUGACGACUGCUCGCUACGGUUUUAGCC
rnacentral:sRNA from 15 species